UACGGGGGUGGCAAGCGUUGUUCGGAAUUACUGGGCGUAAAGGGCGCGUAGGUGGUUGGUUAAGUUGGAUGUGAAAACUCUGGGCUCAACCCAGAGCCUGCAUCCGAAACUGGCUGGCUAGAGUUCUGGAGGGGGAAGCGGAAUUCCUGGUGUAGCGGUGAAAUGCGUAGAUAUCAGGAGGAACACCGGUGGCGAAGGCGGCUUCCUGGACAGAAACUGACACUGAGGCGCGAAAGCUAGGGGAGCAAACAGG
rnacentral:rRNA from 1 species